AAAGAAUCAUAUAAAGAUUUAAGGUACACUCUCUACAGCUAGAUAUCCAGUGUAUUCCCAGAUAGCAAAUCACGCCAUACGACAAUGGAAUAGCUUGAAAUGGAACUGAAGCCUCCGUAAUCGGGACCUCAUUGGAUUGCCCAACCAAGUCAGGUUUUUAUACUAGAUAAGAGGCCCAUAAUAAGACUUGGAUUGGAUGUCCACAUAAUUGGAUCAAAUGGGUCCUUCGCAUCAAGCUCAUCCAAAUAUUGAAUUGGUCCUUUCUCUUUUUGUUGACUCCUAGUAAGAACGGCUUGGAAACAUUCUAUUUGAUUUAUCGAAGAAUCUUGAGGACCUUGAUUUAUCUCCUCCAUUUUUCCUUGAUUUUGGAUCCACUGAUCUCGAUUAUUGAAAUUGAACGGAGCAUUACACUGUUGAUAAUUAUGCCCCAACUACUUGUAAUUCCCACACACUGGCGUGUAAUCAUCACUAGCUUUGGGAUUGAGACAUUCACAAGCAUAAUGACCAAUCUAUCUGCAACGAAAACAACGAAGUGGUCUUCUUGCACCCCCAUCAGGCAUAUUGGGUGUCUCUACUAGUAUAUACCUACUAAACUUGUUUCAUGUAGGGUUAGAAAAUGAUCUUGGUUGUCCCGUUGGUAUGAAGGAUACUUGGUUUGAUAAUACCAGUGGAGCAUAUUACUGAUACCUCUGUUGCUCAUUCUCGUAGUUCUAGAGGUUUGAUACAGAUCCCUAAUUAAAAUUAGAACUUUGAAAGUUAUUGAAUGCUCGAUUUUACUGAUUAGAUCGAUUUCCAUUCCAUCCAAAUGUAUUUUUCGAUUGAACUUGAUUGAUGUCCC
rnacentral:lncRNA from 1 species